rnacentral:snRNA from 1 species
AUGUUUUUUAGACGGGAGUUUAGAUCUGCUCCAUUUAGGAACUAUCCAUUUAGUUAUGACCGACGAGUGACCUCCAUUGCACUUAGGAGGGUCGCUGGUCUAAGGCUCACCCAAGUGGCUGAGACCUACGUCAUAAUUUGUCGUAGUGGGGCCUGUGUUUGCGGGCCCCAG